rnacentral:rRNA from 1 species
CUGCAGCCCGAGUGGUGGUCGUUUUUAUUGGGCCUAAAGCGUCCGUAGCCGGUCUAGUAAAUCCUUGGAUAAAUCGUACAGCUUAACUGUACGGCUCCCGGGGAGACUGCUAGACUUGGGACUGGGAGAGGUCGGAGGUACUCCAGGGGUAGGGGUGAAAUCUUGUAAUCCUUGGGGGACCACCAGUGGCGAAGGCGUCCGUCCAGAACGGGUCCGACGGUAAGGGACGAAGCCCUGGGUCGCGAACCGGAUUAGAUACCCGAGUAGUCC